rnacentral:rRNA from 1 species
GGAAAGGCGCGCGAUACAGGGUGACAGCCCCGUACACAAAAAUGCACAUGCUGUGAGCUCGAUGAGUAGGGCGGGACACGUGGUAUCCUGUCUGAAUAUGGGGGGACCAUCCUCCAAGGCUAAAUACUCCUGACUGACCGAUAGUGAACCAGUACCGUGAGGGAAAGGCGAAAAGAACCCCGGCGAGGGGAGUGAAAAAGAACCUGAAACCGUGUACGUACAAGCAGUGGGAGCACGCUUAGGCGUGUGACUGCGUACCUUUUGUAUAAUGGGUCAGCGACUUAUAUUCUGUAGCAAGGUUAACCGAAUAGGGGAGCCGAAGGGAAACCGAGUCUUAACUGGGCGUUAAGUUGCAGGGUAUAGACCCGAAACCCGGUGAUCUAGCCAUGGGCAGGUUGAAGGUUGGGUAACACUAACUGGAGGACCGAACCGACUAAUGUUGAAAAAUUAGCGGAUGACUUGUGGCUGGGGGUGAAAGGCCAAUCAAACCGGGAGAUAGCUGGUUCUCCCCGAAAGCUAUUUAGGUAGCGCCUCGUGAAUUCAUCUCCGGGGGUAGAGCACUGUUUCGGCAAGGGGGUCAUCCCGACUUACCAACCCGAUGCAAAC